GGCCGCGGGAAUUCGAUUGAGUUUGAUCAUGGCUCAGAUUGAACGCUGGCGGCAUGCCUUACACAUGCAAGUCGAACGGUAACAGGUCUUCGGAUGCUGACGAGUGGCGAACGGGUGAGUAAUACAUCGGAACGUGCCCGAUCGUGGGGGAUAACGAAGCGAAAGCUUUGCUAAUACCGCAUACGAUCUACGGAUGAAAGCAGGGGACCGCAAGGCCUUGCGCGAACGGAGCGGCCGAUGGCAGAUUAGGUAGUUGGUGGGAUAAAAGCUUACCAAGCCGACGAUCUGUAGCUGGUCUGAGAGGACGACCAGCCACACUGGGACUGAGACACGGUCCAGACUCCUACGGGAGGCAGCAGUGGGGAAUUUUGGACAAUGGGCGCAAGCCUGAUCCAGCCAUGCCGCGUGCAGGAUGWAGGCCUUCGGGUUGUAAACUGCUUUUGUACGGAAUGAAAAGACUCUGGUUAAUACCUGGGGUCCAUGACGGUACCGUAAGAAUAAGCACCGGCUAACUACGUGCCAGCAGCCGCGGUAAUACGUAGGGUGCGAGCGUUAAUCGAAAUUACUGGGCGUAAAGCGUGCGCAGGCGGGUUAUAUAAGACAGAUGUGAAAUCCCCGGGCUCAACCUGGGAACUGCAUUUGUGACUG
rnacentral:rRNA from 1 species